GACGAACGCUGGCGGCGUGCUUAACACAUGCAAGUCGAGCGGAGCGGCGAACGGGUGAGUAACGCGUGAGUAACUGCCCCCCUCCCUGGGAUAACAGUCGGAAACGGCUGCUAAUACCGGAAAGUGGGGGAUGACUCGCGUCCUAUCAGCUUGUUGGGGGGGUAGUGGCAUACCAAGGCGACGACGGGUAGCCGGCCUGGGAGGGGGACCGGCAACAUUGGGCUGAGAUCCGGCGCAAAGUCCUACUGGAGGCAGCAGUGGAGAAGAUUGCACAAUGGGGGAAACCCUGAUGCAGCAACGCCGCGUGCGGGAUGACGGCCUUCGGGUUGUAAACCGCUUUCAGCCAUGACGCGGUAGUGGCAGAAGAAGCACCGGCUAACUACGUGCCAGCCGCCGCGGUAAUAC
rnacentral:rRNA from 1 species